UUCUGACAUUUACUCAUUUUUUGUCUACAGAGAGUGGAUGAGAGCUCUCUGCCACUGUCCGGGAGGGCUGGGGCUGGGUGAGGUCUGGGGGCUGGGUGAGGUCUGAGGGCUGGCUGGCAGCUAGGAGGAGGGAGACAUGACGCUGACGGCCCUGCAUUGCUGCUUCCUCCAGCUGAAUCUACCACCCUGACUUAAGGGUCUCCUGGAGAAAGCCCUGGAGCAGACACCAGCCCUGGCUCGCUGCAGCCUUCGAGCCCCACUCUCUCCUCUGGACCUCAGUUUCGCCAUCCAUCCAAUGGUGACCACUCAGUCACUGCCAGAUCCUGAGCAGAUCCGUCCUGGCCCUGGGGAGUGGACCAUCAGGGGGCAGGGCUGGCCAGUGAGCAGAGAGCUGGCGGUGACAUGGGCUCAGCACAGAGCACCACGUGGGGCCUGGGAGGAGCCAUGAGAGCCGGCAGCCCUGCCUGUCCUCCAGAUGAAAGCGAGGCCCGCAGCCUGAGAGGGAGGGAGGAGACGCUAAUUACGCCCAGCGCGGGGCUCCCCAGGCAGCCUCAGCCACAGGAUCAAACACCGCCUUCCUCAGCCACGCGCCCGCCCUGCCCUGCAGGAGCAGUCACGGAGCUGCGACACCACCAGAGCUGGGACACCACCAGAGCUGCGAGACCACCAGAGCUGUGACACCACCAGAGCCGGGACACCACCAGAGCCGGGACACCACCAGAGCCGGGACACCACCAGAGCUCCGAGACCACCAGAGCUGCCACACCACCAGAGCUGUGACACCACCAGAGCCGUGACACCACCAGAGCCGGGACACCACCAGAGCCGGGACACCACCAGAGCCGCGAGACCACCAGAGCCGUGACACCACCAGAGCCGGGACACCACCAGAGCUGGGACACCACCAGAGCUGCGAGACCACCAGAGCUGGGACACCACCAGAGCUGCCACACCACCAGAGCUGCGACAGCACCAGAGCCGGGACACCAGCAGAGCCGGGACACCACCAGAGCCGCAACACCACCAGAGCUGCGACACCAGCAGAGCCGCGACACCAGCAGAGCCGGGACACCACCAGAGCCGUGACACCAGCAGAGCCGGGACACCACCAGAGCUGCGAGACCACCAGGGCCGGGACACCACCAGGGCCGGGACACCACCAGAGCUGCGAGACCACCAGGGCCGGGACACCACCAGAGCCGGGACACCACCAGAGCUGCGAGACCACCAGGGCCGUGACACCACCAGAGCCGGGACACCACCAGAGCUGGGACACCACCAGAGCUGCGAGACCACCAGAGCUGGGACACCACCAGAGCUGCCACACCACCAGAGCUGCGACACCAGCAGAGCCGCGACACCAGCAGAGCCGGGACACCAGCAGAGCCGGGACACCACCAGAGCCGUGACACCAGCAGAGCCGGGACACCACCAGGGCCGGGACACCAGCAGAGCCGGGACACCACCAGAGCCGUGACACCAGCAGAGCCGGGACACCACCAGGGCCGGGACACCACCAGAGCUGCGAGACCACCAGGGCCGGGACACCACCAGAGCCGGGACACCACCAGAGCUGGGACACCACCAGAGCUGCGAGACCACCAGAGCCGUGACACCACCAGAGCCGUGACACCAGCAGAGCUGGGACACCACCAGAGCUGUGAGACCACCAGAGCCGGGACACCACCAGAGCCGGGACACCACCAGAGCUGCGAGACCACCAGAGCCGUGACACCAGCAGAGCCGGGACACCACCAGAGCCGGGACACCACCAGAGCCGGGACACCACCAGAGCUCCGAGACCACCAGAGCUGCCACACCACCAGAGCUGUGACACCACCAGAGCUGUGACACCACCAGAGCCGGGACACCACCAGAGCCGGGACACCACCAGAGCUGCGAGACCACCAGAGCUGGGACACCACCAGAGCUGGGACACCACCAGAGCCGGGACACCACCAGAGCUCCGAGACCACCAGAGCUGCCACACCACCAGAGCUGUGACACCACCAGAGCCGGGACACCACCAGAGCCGGGACACCACCAGAGCCGGGACACCACCAGAGCUGUGACACUGUGGCUUCAGUAAAGCUGUUUCUUCUACCACUGGCUUGCCCUUGCAUUCUUUCCUGGGUGAAGCCAAAAACCCAGAGGGCUAAACUCCACUUUCGGGCUCGCCUGCCUGCAUCAUAACCAUCAGGCCUGGAGAGCCGGGUCUCUUGAGAGUAAACUGCCGUGAGAUUCUACAGGAACUCUGCCUCUCCUCUGGGCUGAGCUGUUCUGCCUCAGUUUCCUCACUAACAAAAUGGGGUGACAUCUUGAGGUGGCCCCUCUCGGUGCUGCCAGCCUCUCUGCUCCCCACUCUUUUUGGGCAGCC